rnacentral:rRNA from 1 species
AUACGUAGGGUGCGAGCGUUAAUCGGAAUUACUGGGCGUAAAGCGUGCGCAGGCGGUUAUGUAAGACAGAUGUGAAAUCCCCGGGCUCAACCUGGGAACUGCAUUUGUGACUGCAUGACUGGAGUGCGGCAGAGGGGGAUGGAAUUCCGCGUGUAGCAGUGAAAUGCGUAGAUAUGCGGAGGAACACCGAUGGCGAAGGCAAUCCCCUGGGCCUGCACUGACGCUCAUGCACGAAAGCGUGGGGAGCAAACAGGAUUAGAAACCCUAGUAGUCC